GAUGAACGCUGGCGGCGUGCCUAAUACAUGCAAGUCGAGCGAACGGACGAGAAGCUUGCUUCUCUGAUGUUAGCGGCGGACGGGUGAGUAACACGUGGAUAACCUACCUAUAAGACUGGGAUAACUUCGGGAAACCGGAGCUAAUACCGGAUAAUAUUUUGAACCGCAUGGUUCAAAAGUGAAAGACGGUCUUGCUGUCACUUAUAGAUGGAUCCGCGCUGCAUUAGCUAGUUGGUAAGGUAAAGGCUUACCAAGGCAACGAUGCAUAGCCGACCUGAGAGGGUGAUCGGCCACACUGGAACUGAGACACGGUCCAGACUCCUACGGGAGGCAGCAGUAGGGAAUCUUCCGCAAAGGGCGAAAGCCUGACGGAGCAACGCCGCGUGAGUGAUGAAGGUCUUCGGAUCGUAAAACUCUGUUAUUAGGGAAGAACAUAUGUGUAAGUAACUGUGCACAUCUUGACGGUACCUAAUCAGAAAGCCACGGCUAACUACGUG
rnacentral:rRNA from 1 species